rnacentral:rRNA from 1 species
AGGACGAACGCUGGCGGCGUGCUUAACACAUGCAAGUCACGGGGGCCCGCAAGGGCAACCGGCGAACGGGUGCGUAACACGUGAGCAAUCUGCCGAUCUCUGGGGGAUAGCCGGCCCAACGGCCGGGUAAUACCGCAUACGUUCUCGAGGGGGAGUCCUCUUGAGAAGAAACCUCCGGGGGAGAUCGAGGAGCUCGCGACCUAUCAGCUAGUUGGCGGGGUAACGGCCCACCAAGGCACCGACGGGUAGCUGGU